GUUUGUUUGUGAUUUGUUUUAUGAACUGUUGUUUUAUCUGUAUUGUUGGUUCGUUACGCAGAGACAUCUUCAAGGUACAGGAAGAUAUCUUCAAGAAACUUCUAUAUGAUAAUGUUGUUAAAUGAAGCAUGAAAAAAGUCUGUUGAUUAAUUUCAGUGCGCUUCCUACCUUGAAAUUUCUGACGUUUUAACUUUUAUUUCAGGUUAAAUCUCAACUACUCUCAACAGGGUUCACGGGUUACGCGAGGAGUAAAAAUCCUUGCUGGUAUAAGGCCACAACUACAAAAAGAAAGACCUGACAAGCC